rnacentral:lncRNA from 1 species
UUGUAUUUGGAGUUGAUGAGGGUUCCAUUUUCCAAUACUCAACAAAAAUACCAAAGCCUAUGACAGGCAAGGAAGAAAAUAGUGAUAGGAAGUAAAUAUUACAUGAGUGGACAACUUUAUAGAAUACAGUAAGGAGUAAAGGAAGCUGAAUAAAGUAGUUCAAAGCGAAUUUUGGAGGAAGCAAGGGGCCAAAGAGAAGUCCACAAGGCCAUUGAAGACUGUUUGUUAAUAGUGAGUGAUACUGCUUAUUAGUGUUUGCUUUCUUGAUUAACACCACCAGUGCUCACACCCACUCCACUAUCUGUUUUGUAUUUGUUUAAUUUUUUAUUAUUUGUUCCUCUUACUUUUGUUUGAUGGGUGAGGCGAUUAUGUUUUUGUGUAUGUGCACAUUGCUGUCAAUCCAAUCUUUUGAAAGAGGGUUGGGGUGCUUCUUUUGUAUUUCAACUUGAGGAAUUAAGACUUUGUUUUUGCUUGAUUUGAUACAUCUUUUUGUUGCGUUCGGGCCUUCAAAAAGUAUGUAAAAGGAGAAUGUAAUUGAUGGGGUGGGGUUCAUGAAGGCCAUAAAAAAUAAUUCAUUUUGGGAAUCAUAUAUAGGAAUAGGAGGCACCUUUAUUAUGGAUAAAACUUUCUUAUUAAAAAUGAUAUUAUAAGCAGCGGCAGCAGCUUUGAUUAGAUGGUAAUAUGGCAUUCCUCACAUAAGAGAAGAGAAAUUAUACACACUAGCUGAAUGAGGAAAUAAUUUCAGAAUAAAUUGACACAGGAGACUGAUAAAUACAACUGUUUGUUUAAUUUAUUGUUUCAGGUGUUCCUGUAUAGAUAUAAUAGAUGAACUGCCUGCUUAUUGCUGAAAGCCUUUGAUCAAAGAUAUGCUUCUUGAUAUAUACAUUCCCGUAUGUUUCCAAAUAGACAAAGAUUGGCAUUUGCUCCCUUCCCUUUGAACUGGUACAAGCGGCGUCAAUUCAUGU